rnacentral:lncRNA from 1 species
ACCGCAGUGACUCCAAAACCCUCCGAUUGCGCGAUGGGACAAAACUUUCCUCUGGGGUGCCCAUUUUACAAUGUAACCGCGUUCUCCAAUCGCUUCUGUGAAACCUUUAGGCAAUAGCUCCAUCCAAUUUGAACCACCUACUGAGCCAGGUCUGAUCACCCAUAAGAAGGGCUGCUUGCUGUUAGCCAAUCCCCAAGCCAUUUCGGCGAGCUCUUUCUGACUGAUGGAUGCUACACUUCCCAAGCUUACAUAGAUAACCGCGUUGUUAGAUUGCUUGUCGAGCCACCCAAUGCAGCUUGUGUCCUCUUCUAGUAAGCUACUAGAAGCUGCUGCUUCAAUCUUGUGAAGAGGACCUAUGGAGAAGAUUGGAACUGGGCACUGUUGCUGGAUCUGUGCUAGUGAUGAUUGUUCAAGACAAUCAGUGGUGUUCCAAACGAUUGCUGAUGCUGUCCUCACAUCGUGUGCAUUACCGGCUAGUUCUGAGUACUUUUCUACUGUGUCGAAGUUGUUGGUGGGCAGAUCCUUCAACCUGAGGUGAUCAACAUCGGGCAACGGACUCAGUGACUGAGAGUCUGCAAUCCAACAGUGUUGUGUUCUUAGUUAUAAGUAAGAAAAACGAACAUCUGGGAAUUAGAAUAGCUUUGCAGAAUGAUAGACAUAGAUUUUACAUUCUGAUUAAGAAAUAUAUAUGGCACAUACCUGGGAAUGGGAUGUGACCUUUUGAAUGAAGCCGUAGGAGAGCAGUACGAGCUAGAAAAUUGGUAACGCUGGUAGUUCGUAGCAUGAUGUUUGGGAUGUUUAGAUCCUUAGCUACAGCUUCAGUGAAGUACAUAAGGUCAUCAUGGAUAACGGAGGUGAUUUUGUUCUCGGGUUCCUGUUCCAUAACUUGAGUCAAGCGCUGCCGGAAACUCGCUGUGCAGUUGGCAUUUAUGGCCAGCAAAAUGGCCACUGCAUUCUCAGAUGAGAUCUCUUCAGCAGUCAAGCCAUCUUGUAUUGGAAAGAAGGUGAAAUCCGGGUGGUUUGAAGGGUUGGGGGAGUUGAACUGGGUGUGAAUAACAGUGAUGGAAAAGCCCUUUGAGUGAAGGAAGGAACCCAGCUGAAGCAUUGGAUAUGUGACCUUGGUAUGGACAUGGGACUAAGACCAACCUGGUACUCUGUGUUUUCUUUUCCAUCUCCAUCCUUCCCUCUUUCUCUUCUCUCUUAGAGAGAGACACACACACCCCCAAAAGGUUACAGUGAUUGGAUUUCUAAAUUUUUGACUGCUUCAUUAAAACCCUUGGGAGUUUUUAUAGAGGAGAGUUAUUAAAAAAAUCCUUUUUUACCUUCUGCAUAAGCCUGUAAAUUCAAGCUCUUGAUUAUUCUUUUAUUUAUUCAGUACAAUGAUUGAAUGAAAAAUAUAUAUAUACAUCCCAAUUUGCAUCUCAGUAUCACAAACUAAUAACACAAUGCCACAAAUUUUAGCUUCUUCAUAUUACAUUAUAUUAUUGGCACAGAAUAGCACACUGACGUAUACGAGCACAUAUAGGCGGCAGCUAUUAAGCUACCAGUUGCUUUGGCUACAUCUUCCUGGAUUAAAGCGGUAAGCGGUAACGGCUGAUAAUCUCAUCUCUUGCAGAAGGGAUUGAUGACAAUUGCAGAUAAAAUAUCUUUGGUCUAAAAUAAUUUUGUUGUCAUUGUCAUAUUGAUGACAAUUGCAGAUAAAAUAUCUUUGGUCUAAAAUAAUUUGAAUCCAAGCGAUUCAUUCUCUGCUUAUGACAAGAAAAAGUUGAUUCGGCUUGCUCAGUAUUACCCAAAUGACUUUUCUGCACUUGACUUGAUGAUACUUGAAGAUCAGCUUAAGAUGUACAUUAUGGCCUUGCGCUCCAGCAUUGAGUUUUCAGGAUUGAAUGGGAUUGCGGAUCUUGCACAGAAAAUGGUUGAGACAAAAAAAGACUCUGUUUACUCAUUAGUUUACUUGCUGUUGACAUUGGCACUUAUCUUACCAGUUGCAACUCCUACUGUAGAGAGGGCGUUUUGUGCUGCGAGGAUCGUGACGAACCGGUUACUCGAUCAAAUGGAAGAUCAAAGGACGGAUGAUAGUUGGAUUGCAUAUAUUGAGAAAGACAUUCUUGAUAGUAUCGAAAAUGAGAUCGUUAUGCAACGAUUUCAAAAUAUGAAAACUCGUCCAUGGCAAAUCUCAUUGUAAUGAAUAGAUAUUUUAUCAAUCAACGCUGAUGUUUUUGUCUUGUUAUGAGCUUCAACUGUUUUUUUUUCUUAUUUUGUCUGAAAUAUUGUCAGUAUAGACCUAUGGCUCUGCAUCCCUUGAAUUUGAACAGGUUGAAGCAUGACUGCUUGCUCAAGAAGCAAUGACUACAGAACAUUGGAAUUACAGGUUAGUGUCGAGAAAGUAAUGUAUUUGAAUGGCUGACCACUUUCUCGAAUCUAGCUGGUGGAUGACCAUAGACUGCAUUUCACAGUUAGAAUUUGCCAUGAUAUAUCAUAUUGUAACGGAAAAUUAUAGGGUGUUGAUAGGAAUUUUACCACACACGCAAAUGGGUUAAAACUCCAAUAUUACUUGCAAGAAUGACAAGGUUAUUGUAGUAUAAACGGAUCUCGCAAGGUCGUUCUUCACAGCGAUUAUUAAAUAAUUUAAAUCAAACCAAAUUCCAAUUGAUUAUUGUAAGAUAGAAAUUUAGAUGAUUGAUUUUAUGACCUACCAAAAUUAAAACGAAUUUAGCUAAUAAAAAUAAGACAAUCUGCAAUAUUAAAGCUGAAAGAAAAAGAAAUAGUUUUUAAAAUAUCAAUUUAUAAAAACACUAGGGUUCCACCAUCACCUAGCAAUUCUAUGCAUUUUUACCAAUUACUUAUGAUCUACCCAUGCCACCUUGAAGGUUAGGUUUUCCUAAUUUAUAUUCUAUUUGAAACCUCAAACAUAGAAUGUAAAUUUAAUAUGCAAUUCGUCUGCACGUUCGGAUCAAAUUUGAACAUGAGACACUCAUUAUACUUCAUGAAAACCCUUUGAAAAACCAUGCAACCCUUAAGACGUGGUGUUCAUCUUAAGUGAAAUUACAAUUAUCAACCACAAGAAGCCAGCGCCAAUUUCAGGGAACCUUCUGACCAAAAUUGCAUCAAAUUACUUUUUUAAAGAUCCUAAUGGUGAUAAGGCAUUAAGACAAUUAGAUAGUUUUAAUCACGGUGAUUAAUAAUUCAAAGUGUGCAUGCAAUCAAUCAUAAGCAAUUAAAUAAAAAUUACAUAUUCAUGCUAAGGCUCAAGGCUUCGCUCUAGCAAAAGGAAUUAGUUACGCAUAUUCAUAAUUAAAAUCAUAGAAAAUAUUAUUAAGAAAAGGAUUGAAAACCCCUUAAAGUAGAAAAUCUCCAAGAACCCUAGCAAUUACUCUCUAUCUCCAAAAUUGCAUAAAGGAAAACGUAGAGAAAUACUGUGGACGGCAAAGCAAUAUAUGUUGCUAUCCAUCGCACAAACCCUAAAAACCAAGUCCUUUAUUCCAACUACGAAACUAAGAUAACUAAAAUAAAAUAGGAAACAUAAUCCUAAAUUAAAUGGUAAAAUUCGCCUAAAAUCUGGACAGCCACGUUCUGAACCCUUAAGCUGCUCCAAAACUAGCCCAAUAUAGCUGGAUUUGAUGUUUGAAAUAUUCUGAACACUUCUCCAGAAGGCCACGAACCCAUCAGAGGUCAUCUCGGGCUCCAAAAACGCAAUUUAAGCCCUGAAACAUCAUUUUCAAGCACUGCACACUACUCAUUUAUUCCAUUGCCAGAAAAUAACCGCUUGGUAGAAAAAUCCCAAAUUUUGAUAAGAACACGCCAAAAGACACACGAACGUCUUCCAACUUGAAUCACUCCAAAAUUCUUCCGUUUGAUCAUGUUAUGCUCCAGAGGAAGUCAGGUGUUCUAUAUUGAAAAUAUAAAUCAAAGUAUCAAAAUUUUACCAAAAUAAUUACCAAAACAUACUAAGAAUAAGAUAAAAUAUAUGGUAUAAUAUGAACUCAUCAGGUGUUACAAUUGAACUGAUUUAGAUCCUUUUUUCCACUUGUAACUUGUCAUUAUUGUCAAUUCUCCACUGAUACGAAAAUAGGCGACCCAACUCAAUUUACUUUUAUUGGUUGAAGCACACUUUGUUUUGUUGAAUAACAGAAUGUGCGUCUCUGCUUCUCUAUCUAGUUACUAUUUUUGGCAUUUGCUUCGAUUUCUGAACUUCAAACUUGUAUAGAUUCAAAUGUAAGGGGCUACUUACGUUAGACAAGCCACGAUGUUGUUUAAGAAUCAAUUAGAAAUGUUGUGGUUAUAGGACUUUCCGUCAAGUACUAGUCCAAAUGCUUCGAUAACCAUUACGAAGGAGGAUGUUGGGCUUUAUUCUAUCGGAGUUCCACUUCCGGGGGUCUUACUUAUGGUUAUAGGACUCUUCUGGUUUCCCUUGAGUACUAGCUAAGGGUAUUUACUCAUACUGGUUGAUGCCGUACCGAAUCUAAUGGGCAGAUUGGCUGCAGAGUAGUAAAGCUUGUUCCCGGUUAGCUUGAACAAGAUACAAUUCAUAUGGUUCUCCGCAUUCUCAAAUAUAGGAGUAGUUGAACAAACCGGCAGCAUUUUACAAGUCAUAUUUUGGCAGCAUAUUUGUGACGUUUUUCGGCCAAAGCACAGUGAUUUAGCCAUCAAGAAAGUUACCAUUCUCUUCGUCUCGUUGAGAAGUAUGAUUUUCUUUUUUGAAUCACUCUAUUUCAUUGAGUAUUGAAGAAGUUAUGAACGUUUAAAGUUUACCCAGUUUCCGGCGAGUUUUCCAGUUUUCCCGCGAACCAGUCACCUUUUAGGGUAUUUUUCGGCCAUCUCCGUCAACCAUUGGGCUUACAAAUAGGUAUAAUCUUGUUGUUCUACACUUUGCUAUCUUCAUUUUGAUAUAUUAUGGGUCGAAUUUGGUUAAGAAACGAUUGAGUUACAAAGCUUUGAAAAUUGCUCAAACUUUCGGCCAAGAGCUCUGAGACACUUAACAGAGUUUUUAACGGAAUGACCCAAAAAAUGGAUGGUGGACAAUCUUAGGGACCAUUUCUAUUGAUUUUCAAUCUCAAGGACCAAAGUGAUGUGUUAUGCAAAUUUCAAGGACCACUUUGGCUUAAAAACCUUAAUUUUACACUGAAAGAUGCACCGAACUAGAAUGUAUGUUCUAAUUCAAUUUUUCAACCCACGAUUCAAAAAUAGCAAACCACGCGAAACUGAGCCGGAUGGUCUAGUUCAUCAUUUCAGUCUAGUUUUCUAACCCUAAUUCCUAACUUCUUCUGGAUAGUCUACUCCCUCUGAUUUAGUCCGAUUUUCUUUCCCAAUUUCCCAAUUUCCUCCGGUUCAGUUCGGUUUUUUGGCCCAACUUCUUGGUUUGUUUGAUCAAAUCUUCAGGGAUCAUUCUAUCCAACCUAAUAGCCUCCAGGGCCCACCUAAUUUCUAGAAACUACGAGCUCAUUCCCUUAAAUCUACUUUGUCAGUACACAAAACUGCUAACAAGCACUCUCAGCUCAUACUUCCACAACCCACCUCAAAGUUCCUCACUUUCCUUUCUUACUUUUUUUUCCAGACAAAGAUGUUGAUUGUCCCAAUCAGGUAGCGAUGACUUCAACAACCUCUCGUCAGCCCCGACCUGUGGGACCCAUUCAAGGAUUUCCCAUUCCGAGCAUUUCUAUUCCAUUCCCCAAUCUCCAAUGUCUUCCGAGAAUUCAAUCCGUUUUCUUCCGUAAACUCUCGGCUCAACUGGAGAGAAACCCAAAACGCCCACGUCUUGACCGCAGCGCUAUUGGCGUUUGCCAAUGAGGAAAUGCUUGUUUCGCUUGAGGACAAAUUAAUGCUCUAGAUCAGCAUCGACAUCGAUAACUUCACGACCAGGAUGAAGCUGUCAGACGAUGCUAAGAUUGAGGAGCUCAAGGUGUUCAUGAGCAAUGGAGUGCUCACUGUGACUGUUCCUAAGUUGGCAGCCGUCGCUGGCAGGCACGAUAUGUAACAACUUGUCCCUAAAUACGUUGACUUUUGUUGACCAUCUUGUCGUGUCACGUAAGAUCCGUUUUCUUGGCGUAUCUUCGUAGUACUCGUCGUAACGAACACAUGGGUGCGAACAAAACGUAAUUUAUAGUUACAACGAAGGAGUUAUUAACAAACGAAGUCAAGGGCAAAAUGGUCAUUUGACCAUAAAUAUGGAAGGCUCUAGAUUUUACUGGAGAAGUUAGUUGAUGCCAUAUGUGUGGGUGAGAUGGAAAGAAAUGAGAGAAAAUGAGGGGUGUGGACCAAUCAGAAAGAGGAGGUGAGGAGUGAACCAAUAGGAGAGGAAAGAAAGGAAGGAAAUAAGGGAGGAGAGAAGGAGAGGAACCGGUCGGGUUCUUCUUGACCCGCGUGACCCGACCUGGUUACUUUCAAAAUUUUCGACGGAUUUCCAUCGAUUUUUCUGGCAAACCACGUCAAACAACCACCUGGGAACCACUCCACGCCCUUCCCUUUACCAAUUCCACCCCAAAAUUGAUACAAAUUGGCCUUGAUUUUGUGAAACCCACACCAGUGGGUGCAAUGGUGUCUUGCUGUCGAUCCAUCAAUCCUGAAAUGAUUUCCUUCGAUCACCACCACCUUUAGCAUCCUCUUGAGCUCAGGAACAAAGCCUAAACAUGUUUAGGGGCGUCGGAUGUGAAACCUCGUCUCUAAUUUUAUCAUAUUUUGUAUUUUUGGACUUACGAAAUUACUAAAAUUCCUUUGAGGCAUAUUUGUUGACUUUUGUUGACUGUCUCGUCAAAACGUGUAGGUUUAAUUUAAUUAAGUUAUUUUUGUCGUACUCAUCGCCACGAACGUGUAGGUUUUGAAUUUGGAUUUAUAACGAAGAUUUUACGUUUUGAACAUUGGACAUUUUUUGGAUAAUUUUGUGUUUUGUCCUUAGUGACCUUGUUAUGUGAGCCAUUAGGGCCCACAUGUCUUCUUCCUUUUCCCUCACCAUGAGCCCCUUUUCUUCUUCUUUGUCUGGAAACCAUACUCUCUCUUUCCCACAACUUUCUCAUCUUUCUCCCUCUCUAGUUUCUCUUAAACCACCUUCACCGAGGGUUUCUUUCACAAACAAACAACACAACAACAACAUCAACAUCAACAUCCCCAUCAACACCCCAGUGAACUCAGAUUCGAAAGAAGACUCUCUAAACCUUCCAAAACUUGAUGCACAGUGCUUGUAUUGUUCAUCGAGUUUUCCGAUGAGUUUCCACGUUCUCCGGCGAAGGUAAGCCUCGACCUUCAUCCAAAAGUUGUAGAUCAUGUUUUGGUGUAUGUUUGAAAGUAGUUUUGAGAAGUUUAAGUGAUGUUUUGAUGUAGGAACCUUACAGGGAAAACUUCCCCAGUUUUUUGACAAAGCACCGCCAUUUUUGAGGUGAUUUUUAGCCAAACCACAGCGAGUUAACGGUGUGCAAGGUAUCAAUCUCUUCAUCUCAUUGUGAACUAUAACUUUCGUUUUUGUUUCACUUGAUUUAGUUGAGCAUUGGAUGAGUUAUAAGCCUUGGAAAACCUGUCUAGAAACCGACCGAUCCAUGGCUUGAAACCGGGUUGACCUGACCUGAUAACCUUAAAACAUGAUCCAAGCCCAAGUUGAAAUCAACCCAAUUGUCUAGCCCAACCCAAAACUCAAAGCCUAGCCUAAAACCCAAAGCGCAGCCCAAAACCCAAAGCCUAAGCCUAGAGUCAAGCCCAAGCCUAGAAAUUGGCCCAACUUAGAGCCCAGACCGCGCGUGGGCGUUUGCCUUGGUCAACGCAUAGAGCACACGUGCCUCCACAAGAGGUACUAUGCUCCGCCGCUAUCGACUUUUUUAGCCAACUUUUCGGCCACCCAAAUCGGCGUGUGGCACCUAGGGGUACCCCAGGUCCCCCCUUAUGUUUUUCAAUGUCCUGAAUCUGUUUAUGAUGUCCAUUUUCCGAAAUUCAAUCGUUAUGGUGGAGUUUUAUUAAUUGGACCAUUUAUGUGCUUAGGUACGAUUAUUAGCAGUGUUUUCGUCCCUCCUAUUUCGUACGGCUCUUCAACGAUGGAGUAUCUAUGAGUAGACCCCUUAUAAAAUGCAUAUUUUACUAUUAGAAAUGCAUACAUGAAAAACAUGAUUUAUUGAUUACGUUUUAUGAAACGUUUAUGAGUAAAUUGGAUUUACGCUUUAUGACAUUCGUGCUUUAUCGAUUUUCCAUUCUUUGUAGUAUAUAUGACUGAUGACUAUAUACUAUAUAUAUGUUUUAAGAUAUGAUGUUUGAGCUACUGAGCUCUGAUGAGAUAUAUGUAUUAUGUUUGGAAAUAUUAUGUUCAAUGAUUUUUAUGCUUAUCUAGUGGCCAAUGUUCUGCCUAUGGGCGAUGAUACUUAUAUAUGGCUUCAACCGGGCGUAGGUUGGUGGCUUUGGCUGGGAGAUACUUGUAUAUGGCUUUAACCAAGAGUAGGUUGGUGUCUUCGACUGUGAGAUACUUAUAUAUGGCUUCGGCCAGGCAUAGGUUGGUGGCUUUGGCCGUAAGAUAUUGAUAUAUGAUACCACUAGUACACAUUAUAUGAUAUCUAUUUUAUGAAGGUUUUAUGGCAUGCUAGGGUUUUCAGAAAACCUAUUACUUAUUAUGCUAUAUGAGUUUUCAUAAACUUUAGGGAUUAGUACGUUGUUGAAUAACUAUGUUAGUACUACUUAUAUAUCAACUUGGUCCACUCAUGUUUGUUUUGUGCCCCCUUAGGACCUAGGAAUGAGGCAUACGAUUCAAGCUACGAGGCUCCCUUACCAGUGAUAUCGUGCCAUCCUCUCUGCUUUUGACAUCACUUGUAAUAACACUUUCUGUCACACAUUUGGCUUGUAUUCUGAAUUAGAUGUAUGCUCUAAACAUGUCAUGCAUUAUCACUAUCAUUUUAUUAACGGCUGAAUAUUAUUAUAUUAUUUUGAUAAGGUUUGUAUAUGAAUAUUAAAUUGUGUAAUUCACACGAAAUUUAUAUGCAUGUUUCACAUGCUUUCAGCAUAUGCAUUUAUUAAAUGGCUUGAGUCACCCUUGGGUGUUGGCCAACAAGUGGCCAUCCCGUUGUCCCCCCUGACAUCGGGAUCGAGGCGUGUCAUUGGAGGUCGUUUUGAGGUCGAAUCGAGAACACCCAUUUCUAAGGAUUUUGGCGGUUGGUGGCGUUUUCAGGCCACUUCCUGGCCAAAUUGGAUUUUGGCCUAGGUGUGAAAGUUGUUCCUCUCAUUGAGAUCUACUUGCGUGUAAAAUUUGAGAAUUUUUAAUGUUAGUCGGAAAAUUGGGUUUUCGUUUGUCGGAAACCGCCACAUGCAGUGGCGCGUGGUCUUUCGGCCACCAUCCCCAUGGCGGCUAGUGCGGCGGUGCGUGAGGGGAACUCGAGGUCCCUCAUUAGGUAUUUCAAUGUGUUGAAUCCAAAUCCGCUAUCCCUUUUCUCAAAUUCUGACGUUUUAGUAUAAUUUUACUAAAUGGUCUCUAUGUGCGUUUAGGUGCAAUGGUUGGAAGUUACUUCAUUCUCGCUAGUUCAAGUGGCUCUCGGGCGAUAAAAUAUCUGUGAGUAGACCCCUUCAUAACUUGUGUGUUUUUGUAAAAUAUUAGCCUAGCAUGCAUUGCAUAUUUCUUGAUUUAAGUAUGUUUUAUAUUUUAUGGAUUUCUAUAAUGAUGGUUUACGAAAUAUUUAUGAUUUAUUGAAAGUACAUUUUUACGAAUAGUUAUGAAUGAUUGGAUUUGCAUAUAUGAAUUUCUAUGGCUCUCGAGUAUGAUUUGGUUUUGGAUUCACGAGUAUGGUUUACCAGGGAUUAUGAGAUGAUAUUUUGAGCUUGUGAGCCUCGGAUUUGAUAUGAGUUUUUUGAGGUAUGUUUUGGGUACUUAUCUAGUGGGUUAUCAUACAACACAUCCACACAAUCGGGUAUGUAAACGUCUAUGGCCAUAGGACAUAGUGGAGGAGUAGUGAGAGAUUAUGGUUAUACCCUUAGCAUCACUAGCCCGGGGCUAGUGUCAGUGUGUGAUGUUAUAUGUAUAUGCCUCUUCUUUGGCGUAACCCAGAGAUGUACAGCUUCACCUCCGAGUGAUGGUCCUCAUGUUUCUUCUCUGGCGUAACCCAAAGAUGUACAGCUUCACCUUCGGGUGAUGGACCCAAUGCAUAUACAUAUAUAUAUGUUAUAGCCUAUUCUCUAGCGUAACUCGUAGUAGUACAGCUUCACCUUCAGAUGAUGGAUCGUGGUUUCUUCACUGGCGUAACCUAGUGUCGUACAGCUUCACCUUUGGUGAUGGUUAUGCCUUCGGGCCACUAUGAUACCCCUAGUUGAGUAUAUCAUCGAUGAGAUUUAUGGAUUUGCCUUUGGGCGACGUUUUCAGCAUUAUUGAGCAUGGAUUUACAUGUACUGUUUUAUGAAUGUUUUACAUGGCAUGCUAGGGUUUUUAUAAAACUUAUAUGUAGUAUUAUAUAUGUGUUUUCAAAACAGGGAGUUAUUAUUUUCAGAAAUAAAACGGUUUUCGUAUUAUUAGUAUUAUUAUAUAUGGGAUACUUUGGAUGCGGUCCCUAAUCCUUAACAUUAUUUGAUUAAAAUCUUAAUAGUAUUCAAAGUUUGAUCAAAGUCCCUAAACUUUGUACACCUCAUUAUAUUACUAUUACUAUUUAUAUUUUUAUAGUUUUGACAUUAAUUGUUUGAUAUUUUAUGAGAUUUAUAAUCCUAUAAAUUUAAAAUCCCUCAUUAUAAUACUAUUAGAAACAGUUACAAUAAAAAAAUUCAAACAUUUUGAUUUAAUAAUUGGAUAAAAACUAUGUAAAAAUAAGAAAUAAUAAAUGGCAAAAAAAUGUAUCCAUAGUGUUAAAAAAAUUGGUACAUUUUACAAAAAAAAAAGGUACAUUUCACAUAUAACAAAGUGGUACAUUAAUAAAGAAGAAUGGGUACAUUAUAAAUAAAUUAGGGUACAGAUAAAAGAUUAAAAACUAAAAAUAUAAAUAUAUGAUACAAAGUUUAGGCAUAAAACAUAAAUAUAUCAUAUGUAAUUUUUCUAUCAUUGAUUAAAUAUACAAUGUCACGUGACGAUAUACACAUGAGUACAAACACACAACAACAACAAAGCCUUUUCCCACUAAGUGGGGUCGGCUAUAUGAAUCCUAGAACGCCAUUGCGCUCGGUUUUGUGUCAUGUCCUCCGUUAGAUCCAAGUACUCUAAGUCUUUUCUUAGAGUCUCUUCCAAAGUUUUCCUAGGUCUUCCUCUACCCCUUCGGCCCUGAACCUCUGUCCCGUAGUCACAUCUUCGAAUCGGAGCGUCAGUAGGCCUUCUUUGCACAUGUCCAAAUCACCGGAACCGAUUUUCUCUCAUCUUUCCUUCAAUUUCGGCUACUCCUACUUUACCUCGGAUAUCCUCAUUCCCAAUCUUAUCCUUUCUCGUGUGCCCACACAUCCCACGAAGCAUCCUCAUCCCCGCUACACCCAUUUUGUGUACGUGUUGAUGCUUCACCGCCCAACAUUCUGUGCCAUACAACAUCGCUGGCCUUAUUGCCGUCCUAUAAAAUUUUCCCUUGAGCUUCAGUGGCCUACGACGGUCACACAACACUCCGGAUGCACUCUUACACUUCAUCCAUCCAGCUUGUAUUCUAUGGUUGAGAUCUCCAUCUAAUUCUCCGUUCUCUUGCCAGAUAGAUCCUAGGUAGCGAAAACGGUCGCUUUUUGUGAUCUUCGCUAGAUUGCUCCGGUCAUUAGUGUGGAUAAGUAUAUAAAUGGAUAGAGAUAGGAAAGCCAACACAAGAUGUACGUGAUUCACCCAGAUUGGCUACGUUCACGGAAUAGAGGAGUUCUCAUUAAUUGUGAAGGGUUUACACAAGUACAUAGGUUCAAGCUCUCCUUUAGUGAGUACAAGUGAAUGAUCUAGUACAAAUGACAUUAGGAAAUAUUGUGGGAGAAUGAUCUCGUAAUCACGAAACUUCUAAGUAUCGGAGUGUGGUAUCGUCUUGAUUUGCCUUAUCUGUCUCAUAGGUAGAUGUGACAUCUUCUCUGGAAGUACUCUUCCUCCAUCCAGGGGUGGUAUCUUUAACUGGUGGAGAUGCACAAGGUAAUGUAUCAAUUUCACUUGAAGCUUACGUGUAGUUUCAGGCUUGGUCAAGCGCGAUACAAACCAUGUAGUAGGAGUCCCCAAAUCACCGAGCUAGGGGAUCUGCUGAAAGAGGUGACAGACAAGGUAAGCAAUCAGAGCUCCGGCUGAUUGUUCACAUUCUCCUUAUCUUGCAGGCAGCAUGAAGGAUAAAGAGAAGAAAAAUGAGAAGAGAUGAUAUGGGAUACUUUUGCUUUUGAAGAAGUAACUUUCCACAGGCUUAUUCUUGAACUGAGCUGGAGGGUUUUCUGGUUUCCUCCAGAGUAUAAGGCCGACUGAAGAAUUUGAGGGUCAAAACAAGUCCAUCAAAUCUAGAGUAUGUUCGACCCUGCUGAUAUGGGAUACUUUUGCUUUUGACAGAGUAAUGGAUGUAUCGGCACGUGUGCUGUUACGUUUGUCUCCACAUGCUUCCUUGUAUCAUUCUCACUUGCCCUAUUUGUUCCUCAGGCAGAUGCGGUAUCUUCCCUGGGAGCAUAAGAUGUUGAAGAUGAGUACUCGAGAGCAAUACCAGGUAAGUAAUCAGGUAAGGGGUUCGAGGCAGUCAGUUCCUGGCUAUAAGCUUGAUUCCAAGUGCUGACUGAUUGCUCUCUUUCUCCUUGUCUUGCAGGUAAGAACAAGGCCAAAGGAAAAGACAGGGAAAAAGCAUGAUAUGGGAUACUCUUGCUUUUAACCCUGAUGAUAUGGGAUAUUCUUGCUCUAGUAUAGCUUGUUUGCAGAGGUAUUAUCAGGGGGGAAGAAAGCUGAGUAUUUCGAAAGGCUUCGUUGGGAGUGCCCUCUCAGAUAUGAGGAAGGGUUGAGCAUUUUUGCAGGUCUGCCUGUCCGUUGGGGAUGGAGGUCGACAUAUAUAGGAGUCUCCCUAACAACAAGUAGUAAUGCUAUUCCUUUACCCUGCUUGGUCAUAGCACGGUAGUGGGAGCUGCCAGCUUCACAUGUUUUAACUCUGUCAGAGCACUUUGAAAAAGUGGUCUGUGGUAUCUGGAAAGCUGAUGUUGCGUGUGAGGAUUACAGACAAGCUUUAUCCAAGGAGAUCCGGCUCUUGAAGUUGGGAAAGUGGUGCCUUUUCGGUUUUCGAACAAGCAAUCCUAUCGAGGAUCUGGCUCUCGAGAUUCGGAGAAUGAUGCCUCUUCGAUUUUUGAGAAAGCAAUCAUGCUGGGGGUCUGGCUCUCGAGAUUCGAAGAGCGGUGUCUCUUCGAUUUUUGAGAAAGUAAUCAUGUUGGGAGUCUGGCUCUCGAGAUUCGGAGGGCGGUGCCUCUUCGAUUUUGGAGCAAGCAAUCUUGUUGGGAGUGUUUUCUCGAAUGUGAGUAAAGGUUGGGCAUGUUUGCUAGUCUACCUUGCCACAAAGCACAGAGGUUGACACACAGGGACUUUCCAAUUAUCCAGCAAUGGUACUGUUCCUUUACCCUCUUCGAUUUUUGAGAAAGUAGUCAUGUUGGGAGUCUGGCCCUCGAGAUUCGGAGGACGGUGGAUUUUGGAGCAAGCGAUCUUGUUGGGAGUGUUUUCUCGAAUGUGAGUAAAGGUUGGGCAUGUUUGCUAGUCUACCUUGCCACGAAGCACAGAGGUUGACACACAGGGACUUUCCAAUUAUCCAGCAGUGGUACUGUUCCUUUACCCUUGUGGGUAAUAAUAUGGUAGCUAGACCUUCAAAGUUUAUGUGUCUAAAUUUUGUUAGUGCUGUUUCUUUGCUAUUCUUUUACCCUUCUUGGUCAGAGCGAUGUAGUGGGAGCUGCAAGCUUCACGUGCUCAACUUUGGCAGAGAACUUUGGCAAAGUUAUCUGUGGUACCCAUGAGCUAUUGUUGCGUGUGGGAAGUGGGUGAUUGAACAGUAAGAUUCAUGUGCUUUCUACUUCACCAGAAGUCUUCGACAGAAUGCCCAUAAUUUCCGCAAAGCUGAGUGUGCGUGUGACAAGUGCUGACAAGGCUGGAAAAGUAGGUGCCUCUUCGAUUUCUGAGAUCGACCCUCGUGGUCUCUGAGCAGCCCAGAUUUUGAGAAAGCAAGCGCCUCUUCGAUUUUUGAGAAAGCAAUCAUGCUGGGGGUCUGGCUCUCGAGAUUCGGAGAGCGGUGUCUCUUCGAAUUUUGAGAAAGUAAUCAUGUUGGGAGUCUGGCUCUCGAGAUUCGGAGGGCGGUGCCUCUUCGAUUUUGGAGCAAGCAAUAUUGUUGGGAGUGUUUUCUCGAAUGUGAGUAAAGGUUGGGCAUGUUUGCUAGUCUACCUUGCCACGAAGCACAGAGGUUGACACACAGGGACUUUCCAAUUAUCCAGCAAUGGUACUGUUCCUUUACCCUCUCUUUCGAUUUUUGAGAAAGUAAUCAUGUUGGGAGUCUGGCUCUCGAGAUUCGGAGGGCGGUGCCUCUUCGAUUUUGGAGCAAGCAAUCUUGUGGAGUGUUUUCUCGAAUGUGAGUAAAGGUUGGGCAUGUUUGCUAGUCUACCUUGCUACGAAGCACAGAGGUUGACACACAGGGACUUUCCAAUUAUCCAGCAGUGGUACUGUUCCUUUACCCUUGUGGGUAAUAAUAUGGUAGCUAGACCUUCAAAAUUUAUGUGUCUAAACUUUGUUAGUACUGUUUCUUUGCUAUUCUUUUACCCUUCUUGGUUAGAGCGAUGUAGUAAGAGCUGCAAGCUUCACGUGCUCAACUUUGGCAGAGAACUUUGGCAAAGUUAUCUGUGGUACCCAUGAGCUAUUGUUGCGUGUGGGAAAUGGGUGAUUGAGCAGUAAGAUUCAUGUGCUUUCUACUUUACCAGAAGUCUUUGACAGAAUGCCCAUAAUUUCCACAAAGCUGAGUGUGCGUGUGAUAGGUGCUGACAAGGCUGGAAAAGUAGGUGCCUCUUCGAUUUCUGAGAUCGGCCCUCGUGGUCUCUGAGCAGCCCAACUUUUGAGAAAGCGAGCGCCUCUUCGAUUUCUGAGAUUGGCCUUCGUGGUCUUCGAGCAGCCCAGCUUUUGAGAAAGCAAACGCCUCUUCGAUUUCUGAGAUCAACCCUCGUGGUCUCUGAGCAGCCCAACUUUUGAGAAAGCAAACGCCUCUUCGAUUUCUGAAGCUCCGUCGAGUGCAGAUUUUUAUAGGGGCUGGCAUUAAGUUCUAAAGCACACUUGAAAUCCACCAGUAGAAGCUCCAUUCUUGCACUUCUAAGAUCUUGAUUUAUCCGACCUCUUCUCUCUUCAACACCUUUGAAAAUGUCUGGCCCCUCCGACCGUCGUUUUGACUUGAACCUUGUUGAAGAGGCAGCCCCGCCUUCUCCAGACAACAUAUGGCGCCCAUCCUUCGUCUCCCCUACUGGUCCUCUUACCGUUGGGGAUUCCGUGAUGAAGAAUGAUAUGACCGCUGCGGUGGUGGCCAGGAACCUUCUCACUUCCCAAAGAUAACAGACUACUUUCCAAACGGUCUGAUGAGUUAGCUGUUAAGGAUUCGCUGGCUCUCAGUGUUCAGUGUGCAGGUUCUGUGUCUAAUAUGGCCCAACGCCUAUUUGCUCGAACCCGCCAAGUUGAAUCAUUGGCGGCUGAAGUGAUGAGUCUCAAACAGGAGAUUAGAGGGCUCAAGCAUGAGAAUAAACAGUUGCACCGGCUCGCACAUGACUAUGCUACAAACAUGAAGAGGAAGCUUGACCAGAUGAAGGAAUCUGAUGGUCAGGUUUUACUUGAUCAUCAGAGAUUUGUGGGUUUGUUCCAAAGGCAUUUAUUGCCUUCGUCUUCUGGGGCUGUGUACCGCGUAAUGAAGCUCCAAAUGAUCAACCUCUGAUGCCUCCUCCUUCUAGGGUUCUGUCCAGUACUGAGGCUCCGAAUGAUCCCCCUCCGGUGCCUUCUCUUUCUGGGGCUCUACCGACUGCUGAGACUUCUCCUAAGCAACCUUUGUGAAGGCUCCCUCUUGUUUGUUUAUUUUUGACUCAUGUAUAUGUACAUAUUUGUAGCUUAUCGGGGAUAUCAAUAAAUAAGUUUUCCUUCAUUUCAACGUAUUGUGUUAAAUACACCAAAGCCUUCUUCGCUAAGUUCUUUGAAUUUUCUUUUGUUGAAGCUUGUAUGUGGAAGCUUUGUGAGUGGAGCAUGUAGGUUGAGGUAGUGUUCCCUUAAUUUCCCGAGUGAGGAAAACUUCUCGGUUGGAGACUUGGAAAAUCCAAGUCACUGAGUGGGAUCGGCUAUAUGAAUCUUAGAACGCCAUUGUGCUCGGUCCUGUGUCAUGUCCUUCGUUAGAUCCAAGUACUCUAAGUCUUUUCUUAGAGUCUCUUCCAAAGUUUUCCUAGGUCUUCCUCUACCCCUUCGGCCCUGAACCUCUGUCCAUAGUCGCAUCUUCUAAUCGGAGCGUCAGUAGGCCUUCUUUGCACAUGUCCAAACCACCGUAACCGAUUUUCUCUCAUCUUUCCUUCAAUUUCGGCUACUCCUACUUUACCCCGGAUAUCCUCAUUCCUAAUCUUAUCCUUUCUCGUGUGCCCACACAUCCAACGAAGCAUCCUCAUCUCCGCUACACCCAUUUUGUGUACGUGUUGAUGCUUCACCGCCCAACAUUCUGUGCCAUACAGCAUCGCCGGCCUUAUUGCCGUCCUAUAAAAUUUUCCCUUGAGCUUCAGUGGCAUACGGCGGUCACACAACACGCCGGAUGCACUCUUCCACUUCAUCCAUCCAGCUUGUAUUCUAUGGUUGAGAUCUCCAUCUAAUUCUCCGUUCUUUUGCAAGAUAGAUCCUAGGUAACGAAAACGGUCGCUCUUUGGUAUUUCUUGAUCUCCGAUCCUCACCCCUAACUCGUUUUGGCCUCCAUUUGCACUGAACUUGCACUCCAUAUAUUCUGUCUUUGAUCGGCUUAGGCGAAGACCUUUAGAUUCCAACACUUCUCUCCAAAGGUUAAGCUUUGCAUUUACCCCUUCCUGAGUUUCAUCUAUCAACACUAUAUCGUCUGCGAAAAGCAUACACCAAGGAAUAUCAUCUUGAAUAUGUCCUGUUAACUCAUCCAUUACCAACGCAAAAAGGUAAGGACUUAAGGAUGAGCCUUGAUGUAAUCCUACAGUUAUGGGAAAGCUUUCGGUUUGUCCUUCAUGAGUUCUUACGGCAGUCUUUGCUCCUUCAUACAUAUCCUUUAUAGCUUGGAUAUAUGCUACUCGUACUCCUUUCUUCUCUAAAAUCCUCCAAAGAAUGUCUCUUGGGACCCUAUCAUACGCUUUUUCCAAAUCUAUAAAGACCAUGUGUAAAUCCUUUUUCCCAUCUCUAUAUCUUUCCAUCAAUCUUCGUAAGAGAUAGAUUGCCUCCAUGGUUGAGCGCCCUGGCAUGAACCCGAAUUGGUUGUCCGAAACCCGUGUCUCUUGCCUCAAUCUAUGCUCAAUGACUCUCUCCCAGAGCUUCAUUGUAUGACUCAUUAGCUUAAUACCCCUAUAGUUCAUGCAAUUUUGUACGUCGCCCUUAUUCUUGUAGAUAGGCACCAAAGUGCUCGUUCGCCACUCAUUUGGCAUCUUCUUCGUUUUCAAAAUCCUAUUGAAAAGGUCAGUGAGCCAUGUUAUACCUGUCUCUCCCCAAAACUUUCCACACUUCGAUUGGUAUAUCGUCUGGGCCUAUUGCUUUUCUAUGCUUCAUCUUCUUCAAAGCUACAACCACUUCUUCCUUCCGGAUUCGACGAUAAAAAGAGUAGUUUCUACACUCUUCUGAGUUACUCAACUCCCCUAAAGAAGCACUCCUUUCAUGUCCUUCAUUGAAAAGAUUAUGAAAAUAACCUCUCCAUCUGUCUUUAACCGCGUUCUCUGUAGCAAGAACCUUUCCAUCCUCAUCCUUGAUGCACCUCACUUGGUUUAGGUCCCUUGUCUUCUUUUCCCUUGCUCUAGCUAGUUUAUAGAUAUCCAACUCUCCUUCUUUGGUAUCUAGUCGUUUAUACAUAUCGUCGUAAGCCGCUAACUUAGCUUCUCUCACAGCUUUCUUCGCCUCUUGCUUCGCUUUUCUAUACCUUUCACCAUUUUCAUCGGUCCUAUCCUUGUAUAAGGCUUUACAACAUUCCUUCUUAGCCUUCACCUUUGUUUGUACCUCCUCAUUCCACCACCAAGAUUCCUUUUGGUGUGGGGCAAAGCCCUUGGACUCUCCUAAUACCUCUUUUUGCUACUUUUCGGAUACAACUAGCCAUGGAAUCCCACAUUUGGCUAGCUUCCCCCUCUCUAUCCCACACACACUGGGUGAUUACUUUCUCUUUGAAAAUGGCUUGUUUUUCUUCUUUUUAGAUUCCACCAUCUAGUCCUUGGGCACUUCCAAGUCUUGUUCUUUUGUCUCACUCUUUUGAUAUGUACAUCCAUCACCAACAAGCGAUGUUGAUUAGCCACGCUCUCUCCUGGUAUAACUUUGCAAUCCUUACAAGUUAUACGAUCCCCUUUCCUCAUUAGAAGAAAAUCUAUUUGUGUUUUUGACGACCCACUCUUGUAGGUGAUCACAUGUUCUUCUCUCUUCUUAAAGAAGGUGUUGGCUAAGAAGAGAUCAUAUGCCAUUGCAAAAUCCAAGAUAGCUUCCCCAUCCUCGUUUCUCUCCCCAAAACCAUGGCCACCAUGAAAACCUCCAUAGUUGCCUGUCUCCCUGCCCACGUGUCCAUUUAAAUCUCCUCCUAUAAAUAACUUCUCCGUCUGAGCAAUUCCUUGCACCAAGUCUCCAAGAUCUUCCCAAAAUUUCUCCUUCGAACUCAUAUCCAACCCUACUUGAGGUGCGUACGCACUAAUCACAUUGAUAAGUUCUUGUCCUAUUACAAUCUUGAUUGCCAUGAUUCUAUCUCCUACCCUCUUGACAUCUACAACAUCUUGUACCAAGGUCUUGUCCACGAUGAUGCCAACACCGUUUCUCGUUCUAUUUGUGCCCGAAUACCAAAGUUUAAACCCUGAGUUUUCUAGAUCCUUUGCCUUACUACCAACCCACUUAGUUUCUUGUAGGCACAUAAUAUUUAUCCUUCUCCUCACCAUAACUUCCACUACUUCCAUAGAUUUUCCCGUUAAGGUUCCUAUAUUCCACGUUCCUAAACGCAUUUUGCUCUCUUGAACUCUACCCUUCUGUCCUAGCUUCUUCACCCUCCCCCGUCUAAUAGGAUCAAAAUACUUCUUUUGUGUGUCCCGGGUAAAGUUGAUAGGAGCAUAUGCUCCCAAACAACUUUGAGUGGAGUCGUUCGAAAAGAAGUUUCUAUGGCCCCCUUGCUCAUUUAACACUGCAUCCGGGUGCCGAUGGAGAUACAGCGACCCUUGCUCACUUAUCACUGUGCUCGGGCCACACAGCGCGCCACUUACGGGUGACGCCCUAGCUUUAGCGCGAUUUUGUUCUGGAUUCAUUUUCAUAAGGAUUCGACGUGAUCAUGGAGUGCCGGCUGUCGACUACCUGACGCCCUCCCCCUCCUCCUUUAUCCGGGCUUGGGACCGGCCAUGUAAAACAUAGGCGGAGUUCAUGAGUACAAACACAAAUAAAAAUUUAAAAAAUUGGGCACAAAAAGAAACUAAUAUAUGGGUACAAAUUAAAAAUGAAAAGAAAAUUGGUACAAAUUAAAAAAUAUUUGCAAAUUAAAAAUGGGUACAAACUAAAAAUAAAAAUAUAUGAUAAAAAAUUUAGCCAUAAAUAUAAAUAUACUAAUUGUAGCAUUUUACCAUUAAGUGAAUAUAUUUAAAAAUAAAAAUAUUUUAUUAUUCAAAUAAUUAAUGAUGUUAUUAAUACCAAAGGACCUUGAUCAAAAAUUGAAAAUGAAUAGGAUUUUAAUCAAUGAAGUAAUAAAAAGAAGGAUGUGAACCUAAUUUUCCCUAUUAGGGCCCUAUUAUAAACUUUGGUCCACUCACAUUUUCUGUUUUUGCGCCCCCUCACGAGUUAGAGUCGUGGCACACAAUCCCAGCGUCAGGACACUUAUGCGUAGAAAGCUUCGAGGCUUCUCAGUGUAGGACAUGUUCUUCGGUUCGUACCUUUCUAUCAUAAUUCUUUCACUUUAUUCUUGAUUAGUUGUAUACUCUGAACACGAUUCUGCACUAGUGUAACUCUUUCUAAUUACAUAUUUUAUUGGUAUGCAUGUGUUAAAAUGGCUUUGUCACCCUCGGGUGUCGGCCAACAUGUGUCUACCCUGAUAUUUGGGAAUAUCAGAGUUGGGAUGUGUCAUGAUGUCAAGGCUAUUGAAAUUUCCGGCGAUGAUUGAAGUGAUCCGGUGCACUUUCUGGGUAAAUUAAGAUAAUGGGUAACCUCGUUUUGUGUCGGAAUGUGAAAAGUUUGUCUAUGUGUGAUUGAAAUGUAUGACAUAGGUGUGUGUUUGUGAUGGUUUUAGCUGAUAUUAAUGUCAUAUGUAGUGUGGAACUUGAUGUUAGUGUCAUCUACUAUGUAUUUUUUUGUUUGUUAAUAAAAUUUCAGAAUCAUAUAAGUUUACUUCUUUUGUAUGUUUACAGUAUGUUCUUAAGAAAAUUUUGUUCUUAAGAUAUAAAUGAUGAAAUUUACAAAUGUGAGUUAGACUAGUUGAUUAUGGUAGUGUAUUCGUUCUUUUGUAGCCAAGUUCAAUUUCUUGUUCAAAUUCUCAUCGCUGUAUUCAAAAGAAAAUUUUGUUGAUCCUUACAUAUCACUGGGACUCAUUCAGAGAUAGUCUCAGCGGUUGAAUUCCAGCUGUAAUGGCUCCAAAACCCUCCCACAACCCUGUGCGCGAGGACUUGCUUUUGGGGUGCCAAUUUCACUGUGACCCUUUCACCAACCUUUUUUUUGGAAACCUUUGGGCAAUGAUAUGGGGUCCGUCCAAAGCACCCACAUGAAAGGCUGCUUACUGUUACCCAAACCCCAUUGCCAAUAUAUAAAUCUUUAUUGUCCAUGAAAGCUAUGCUUCCUGGGCUUACAUGGAUGAUAUAGUAGUGUGCUUGUUUAUCGAGCCAUGACAUAGCUCUGGUCCGCUUUCAACAAGCUUAUAUAUAGGGAUGGAACAAUUUCGUGCAGAGUACCGAUAGGAAACAAUGGAAUUUGGUACUAUUGCUGGAGCCGUACCAGCGAUGAUUGUUCGAGGCAUUCCACGCUGUUCCAAAUGACAGCUGAAGACGACCUUGAAUUGUGGGUGGGUAUGCGGGACAAAUGCAGAGAGUGCUUUGUGUACGGGGGAUGGUCAUAGGGUAUGGAUGUCCACAAUGAAGUUUUUCUCCUAAUGAUGAACGGAUGUAUGUCUAUUGUUUUGUUUAUUCGGUUGCGUAAUGUUGAGAGUUGUCCCACAUCGGUGAGGGACAAGGUUUGCUAUGUGCUUAUAUGAUCUUGGGUUACUCCUCAUAUUACCAAUUGGUUUUAUGGUGAAACCUCAAUUUCAUUAUGGUAUCAGAGCGGGUUGUCCUCGUGUGAAGUUAAACGGCCACACGGGCUCCACAUCACCUAGUUGUUGUCCACGUGUAGGCUUGAAAAUCUGCCACAUGUGCGGGGGCGCGUUGAGAGCUGUCCCACAUCGGUGAGGGACAACACGCGUUCCACGUCACCCAGUUGUUGUCCACAUGUAAGCUUAAAAAUCCGCCACACGUGUGGGGGCGUGUUGAGAGUUGUCCCACAUCGGUGAGGGAUAAGGUUUGCUAUGUGCUUAUAUGGUCUUGGGCUAUUCCCCAUAUUGCCAAUUGGUUUUAUGGUGGAACCUCAAUUUCAUCACCUAAUACCAUCUGUUGUAGGGUACUGAACUGAGGCAACUCACAUUGUUGUUCUCCUCACGGCCAUAUGUGAUGUAUGGGUACAAAUUGUUAGGGUUCCGCAUAAAGCAUACCUAACAAAAUUAAAGUGAAAAUCUAGUUGGACCAUUUUAGUACCCUAACUCUAACUGAACCAACCACGCCUCUUAGUUUGCUCUAUUCCUUCAAGUUCUAGAUUUGUGUUACCAACUUAUGCAGUACAAUAUAUAGGACAUUUUAUUCAAAGUUGAGGAUGGACAACAAAGAAAAUCAUUCUUGCAUCCAUCUGCUGGAAACUUUAUUCAAGGUUAUGGUUAGAAAUACGUUGUUGUUGCAAUUAAAGUGACAUGAUAAGUUCUACAAGCUUAUUAAAGAAAUUGUAGGAAGAACCACAAUUCCUCAAAGAAACUUCUAUUUUCUCCUUCAAGUCCUUGGCUCUAACCCUCAUCACCUCCCCAUCAGCAUCUACCAUCAGUUUCCUGACAGCUCUCUCAAUCUCUCCUCUCUCUAACUCAUUGUCCAAAUGUAGCCCUACUUUCCAUACUAGGCUAACAUACCUGGAAUGCACCUUCUGAUCGCCAAAAGACGGCAUGCAUAUCAUUGGAAACGAGAUUCAGAUUACAACCUCACCAAAUCACACUCAGUUGAACAUAAUAAAAUACAAGAAAUAAAGACAUCGAGAAAUUUAUGAGGUUCGGCAAAAACAUGCCUACGUCCCCCGAGAGAUAUUGCUCUUCACUAUGAAUAACAGUACAAGUACACAUGAGUUAAAUCAACAUAACUCAAUCCCGAAUCCCUUGCACACCCACUCAUAGAAUUUUCCCAAGAGCCUCACUCUACCCCAAGAGUUCUUUCACUAGAAUACUUUUCACUCUAGCUCUCUUGAUUUUCUCUUAACCCAUGUUCAACCUUUCCCAUGGGAGAGCCGUAUGCUCUCCCAUUGGAUGCUUCUAUGAUGCUUACCUUCCCACUUUCUAAACAUUACUAAAUGCACAAAUAUUGCAUCUAGUUAUAGGCAUACACUAGCAACUAUGCCAACAACCAAGACCAAAAAGUCUUAAGUUCACAUGACAUAAUCAUCACCUAGCCUACCUAGCAUGCACCAAAGUCUAUACCUAGUCUAUAAAGUAUAACUUUGCUUGUGGUAGUCACCAUGUCUUCAAUUGUUGUCAACACAUGACUCAUAAUUACUCACAAAUGUAUGAGCUAAACACAACAAUCUCCACCUUGGCGAAUACACCAUGCAAAAAUCCUUGCACCCAUCACCAAAGCCUAUUGGCCUUACGUACCAGCAUACACACCCUGAAUCAACCUUGUUGGUCCUGUUCUGAUUUAGUCACUGCUAAUGCAUGUGCAGCUGCUGCAAGCUAAAAUUCACUAUUUAGCUUCAGACAGGAUCUCGAUACACCUUCGUCUCCUCCAACAGGUUUUCCUCUUCUUCAUUGUCUGCAACCUGGAAACUCGUCAGCGCGCCCGUUUCCAGCAACAACCCAACAAGCCAGACAAAAUUCCCACAUUUCCUCAUUCCUCAGGACCAUCUCAUCACCUGUGAAUCCCAUAGCUCCACCUGCUGCAAAACCCCUGCAACACUUGAGACUAAACAUCACUAGGAGAAGUGUUGCUUCGAGUACCUAGAGGGCAUACUCGAAGCCUUAUGCCAUAAACUUGCUACAACCCGGCCUUGCACCGUAGCACUGUGGACCCUUGCCUCUAAAACCGGAUCUGAACCUGCUGUCUCUCUCAUAUCCUCUUUCCAAUUUGCUUCCACGAUUCCAACCUUGAACAGCUAAAGCAGUCUUGUGCCCACCAUCAUCCAUGGUCAUCUUCUUUUGUGUAUCAUUCCACACCAAAGAAGCUUGCACCUGCUCCAAACUUACUGUAUCUUUCCAUGCAGUAAAAUUUCACAAGGUUCUCGUACAAAUAUGAAAGUGAGGUAAGAAGAAAGAGGCCUUUGUCUUCUUCCUCAACAUCAACUUUCGCAAUUGAUCCAAGCAUCCCUGAACAUGUCUUUCAUUUCUUCAGGCUUCAUUACUCUCAUCUACUAAGAGUAAAGCAGCCACUCCCAUUAAACUGCUCAACUGAAAAUUCCAUGGUGAAUAAAUCUAGACCUCCAACGAACCAAAGCCUCCAACAAUGCUCUGAUACCAAUUGUUGUGCCUUGACCCGUUCGUUAGUGCAGAAACGAGAUUUAGAUUACAACCUCACCAAAUCACACUCAGUUGAACAUAAUAAAAUACAAGAAAUAAAGACAUUAAGAAAUUUAUGAGGUUCGGCAAAAACAUGCCUACGUCCCCGGAGAGAUAUUGCUCUUCACUAUGAAUAACAGUACAAGUACACAUGAGUUAAAUCAACAUAACUCAAUCCCGAAUCUCUUGCAUACCCACUCAUAGAAUUUUUCCAAGAGCCUCACUCUACCCCAAGAGUUCUUUCACUAGAAUACUUUUCACUCUAACUCUCUUGAUUUUCUCUCAACCCAUGUUUAACCUUUCCCAUGGGACAUCCGGAUGCUCUCCCCUUGGAUGCUUCUAUGAUGCUUACCUUCCCACUUUCUAAACAUUACUAAAUGCACAAUAUUGCAUCUAGUUAUAGGCAUACACUAGCAACUAUGCCAACAACCAAGACCAAAAAGUCUUAAGUUCACAUGACAUAAUCAUCACCUAGCCUACCUAGCAUGCACCAAAGUCUAUACCUAGUCUAUAAAGUAUAACUUUGCUUGUGGUAGUCACCAUGUCUUCAAUUGUUGUCAACACAUGACUCAUAAUUACUCACAAAUGUAUGAGCCAAACAAAACACUUAUGCAUUACAAUAUAUAGGACAUUUUAUUCAAAGUUGAAGAUGGACAACAAAGAAAAUCUUUCUUGCAUCCAUCUGCUGGAAACUUUAUUCAAGGUUAUGGUUAGAAAUACGUUGUUGUUGCAAUUAAAGUGACAUGAUAAGUUCUACAAGCUUAUUCAAGAAACUGUAGGAAGAACCACCAUUCCUCAAAGAAACUUCUAUUUUCUCCUUCAAAUCCUUGGCUCUAACCCUCAUCACCUCCCCAUCAGCAUCCACCAUCAGUUUCCUGACAGCUCUCUCAAUCUCUCCUCUCUCUAACUCAUUGUCCAAAUGUAGCCCUACUUUCCAUACUAGGCUAACAUACCUGGAAUGCACCUUCUGAUCGCCAAAAGACGGUGUGCAUAUCAUUGGAAUCCCUUCAGACAAACUCUCUAGGGUUGAGUUCCAACCACAGUGACUCCAAAACCCUCCGAUUGCGCGAUGGGACAAAACUUUCCUCUGGGGUACCCAUUUUACAAUGUAACCGCGUUCUCCAAUCUCUUCUAUGAAACCUUGAGGCAAUUGCUCCAUCCAAUUUGAACCACUUACUGAGCCAGGUCUGAUCACCCAUAAGAAAGGCUGCUUGCUGUUAGCCAAUCCCCAAGCCAUUUCGGCAAGCUCUUUCUCAUUGAUAGAUGCUACACUUCCCAAGCUUACAUAGAUAACCGCAUUGUUAGAUUGCUUGUCGAGCCACCCAAUGCAGCUGGUGUCCUCUUCUAGUAAGCUACUAGAAGCUGCUGCUUCA